GGGACUGGCGAUUGGGACGAAGUCGUAACAAGGUAGCCGUACCGGAAGGUGCGGCUGGAUCACCUCCUUU
rnacentral:rRNA from 1 species